rnacentral:rRNA from 1 species
CCUACGGGAGGCAGCAGUGAGGAAUAUUGGGCAAUGGGCGCGAGCCUGAACCAGCCAAGUAGCGUGAAGGAUGACUGCCCUACGGGUUGUAAACUUCGUUUAUAAAGGAGUAAAGUGAGGCACGUGUGCCUUUUGUAUGUACUUUAUGAAUAAGGAUCGGCUAACUCCGUGCCAGCAGCCGCGGUAAUACGGAGGAUGCGAGCGUUAUCCGGAUUUAGUGUGUUUAAAGGGAGCGUAGAGGGGUUGUUAAGUCAGUUGUGAAAGUUUGGGGCUCAACCGGAAAAUUGCAAUUGAUACUGGCAGUCUUGAGUACAGGUGAGGUAAGUGGAAUUCGUGGUGUAGCAGUGAAAUGCUUAGAUAUCACGAAGAACUCCGAUUGCAAAGGCAGCUUACUAAACUGCCACUGACAUUGAUGCUCGAAAGUGUGGGUAUCAAACAGGAUUAGAUACCCCAGUAGUC